rnacentral:misc_RNA from 1 species
UGGCUCUGGCAUNGAUGAAGAACGCAGCGAAAUGCGAUAAGUAAUGUGAAUUGCAGAAUUCAGUGAAUCAUCGAAUCUUUGAACGCACAUUGCGCCCCUUGGUAUUCCGAGGGGCAUGCCUGUUCGAGCGUCAUUAUCACCUCUCAAGCCUAGCUUGGUGUUGGGGCCUGCUGUAAAGGCAGCCCUUAAAAUCAGUGGCGGUGCCGUCAGGCUCUAAGCGUAGUAAAUCUGUCGCUAUAGGGUCCUGACGGUCAGCAGCCAAAACCCCAUAUUUUUCAUGAUUGACCUCGGAUCAGGUAGGGAUACCCGCUGA